rnacentral:rRNA from 1 species
AAUAGAUACCCCGGUAGUCCACGCCGUAAACGAUGAGUGCUAAGUGUUAGGGGGUUUCCGCCCCUUAGUGCUGCAGCUAACGCAUUAAGCACUCCGCCUGGGGAGUACGGUCGCAAGACUGAAACUCAAAGGAAUUGACGGGGGCCCGCACAAGCGGUGGAGCAUGUGGUUUAAUUCGAAGCAACGCGAAGAACCUUACCAGGUCUUGACAUCCCAUUGACCGCUAUGGAGACAUAGUUUUCCCUUCGGGGACAGUGGUGACAGGUGGUGCAUGGUUGUCGUCAGCUCGUGUCGUGAGAUGUUGGGUUAAGUCCCGCAACGAGCGCAACCCUUGUUCUUAGUUGCCAUCAUUUAGUUGGGCACUCUAAGGAGACUGCCGGUGACAAACCGGAGGAAGGUGGGGAUGACGUCAAAUCAUCAUGCCCCUUAUGACCUGGGCUACACACGUGCUACAAUGGACGGUACAAACGGUUGCCAACCCGCGAGGGGAGCUAAUCCGAUAAAACCGUUCUCAGUUCGGAUUGUAGGCUGCAACUCGCCUACA